UACGUAGGGGGCGAGCGUUGUCCGGAAUCAUUGGGCGUAAAGAGCUCGUAGGCGGUUCAGUAAGUCGGCUGUGAAAUUCCGAGGCUCAACCUCGGAACUGCAGUCGAUACUAUUGUGACUAGAGUCCGGUAGAGGAGAAUGGAAUUCCCGGUGUAGCGGUGAAAUGCGCAGAUAUCGGGAGGAACACCAGUAGCGAAGGCGGUUCUCUGGGCCGGUACUGAUGCUGAGGAGCGAAAGCGUGGGGAGCAAACAGG
rnacentral:rRNA from 1 species